AUUGAACGCUGGCGGCAUGCCUUACACAUGCAAGUCGAACGGUAACAGGUCUUCGGAUGCUGACGAGUGGCGAACGGGUGAGUAAUACAUCGGAACGUGCCCGAUCGUGGGGGAUAACGAAGCGAAAGCUUUGCUAAUACCGCAUAAGAUCUACGGAUGAAAGCAGGGGACCGCAAGGCCUUGCGCGAACGGAGCGGCCGAUGGCAGAUUAGGUAGUUGGUGGGAUAAAAGCUCACCAAGCCGACGAUCUGUAGCUGGUCUGAGAGGACGACCAGCCACACUGGGACUGAGACACGGCCCAGACUCCUACGGGAGGCAGCAGUGGGGAAUUUUGGACAAUGGGCGAAAGCCUGAUCCAGCCAUGCCGCGUGCAGGAUGAAGGCCUUCGGGUUGUAAACUGCUUUUGUACGGAACGAAAAGGUUUGGCCUAAUAAGCUGAGCUCAUGACGGUACCGUAAGAAUAAGCACCGGCUAACUACGUGCCAGCAGCCGCCGCGG
rnacentral:rRNA from 1 species